rnacentral:lncRNA from 1 species
UCACCAAUGACUUCGAUAGUAAUAUUAUAUUUAGUUGUUGGGUCAGUUAAAGCCCAAGAUGGACAUUUUGUACUUAGCCAAAUUGUUGGUUGUCGGAAAAACCAAUUGACUUGCUUUGAGUACAGGUACAAAACUUCCACUCAAGCUGACAUGUGUAUAGCUAUGGAAGGAUCUAUACAGACAUGUAUAUAGUGCCAUAUCAAUUG